rnacentral:tRNA from 1 species
GCCUGGCUGGCUCAGCUGGUAGAGCACGUGAUUUUUGAUCUCAGGGUUGUGGGUCCAAGCCCCACGCUGGGUG